rnacentral:misc_RNA from 1 species
UGUUCUUUGUUACGACUUACCCCGUCAUGAAUUGCACGUCUCCUUACGGUUAGGCUACUCCCUGGUAAAACCCACUCCAUGGUGUGACGGGCGGUGUGCCAUCCCGCUCACCUCAGACAGCUGAUCCGCGAUUGCCAUGAUCCCGACCUCACGCAAGUCGAGUUGCAGACCGCGAUCCGGAUCACUCACCGGCCUCGGACCCGAACCCGACCACAUGACGUGCGGGCUCCGCUCCAUAUGGGCCAAGGACUGACGUCAUCCCCACCUCCUCCUCCGGUUUACCGCCGGCGCGCGCCCUCGCGCUAAACCACGACCAAGGGCCGCGGCCCGCCGCGGACUCCCCGGGGGCAUCCACGACACGAGCGACGAUACGCCCUUGCGAGCACUCCCGAAGAGAUUUGGGGGAGUGCUCGCAAGAGAACCGGAACACAGGUGCUGCAUGGCUGUCGUCAGCUCGUGUCGUGAGAUGUUGGGUUAAGUCCCGGCAACGAGCGCAACCCUUGUCAUUAGCUGCUACGAAAGGGCACCUCUAAUGACUGCCGGGUGAUAAACCGGAGGAAGGUGGGGAUGACGUCAAGUCUCAUGGCCCUUAUGGGUAGGGCUUCACACGUCAUACAAUGGUCGGGACAGAGGGUCGCCAACCCGGGCGAGGGGGAGCCAAUCCCAGAAACCCGAUCGUAGUCCGGAUCGCAGUCUGCAACCUGACUGCGUGAAGUCGGAAUCGCCAGUAAUCGCGGAUCAGCAUGUCGCGGUGAAUACGUUCUCGGGUCUUGUACACACCGCCCGUCACACCAUGGGAGUGGGUUUCACUAGAAGUAGCGCCUAACCGUAAGGAGGGCGAUUACCACGGUAGGAUUCAUGACUGGGGUGAAGUCGUAACAAGGUAA